AUUUCUAUGAAAAUAAGCAAUAUUUAAGGGGAAAAACAGGGAUUUCUAUGAAAAUAAGCGAUAUUUAAGGGGAAAAACUGGGAUUUCUAUGAAAAUAAGUGAUAUUUAAGGUUAAAAACAGGGAUUUCUAUGGAAAUAAGCGAUAUUUUAGGUUAAAAACAGGGAUUUCUAUGAAAAUAAGCGAUAUUUAAGGUUAAAAACAGGGAUUUCUAGGAAAAUAAGCGAUAUUUUAGGUUAAAAACAGGGAUUUCUAUGAAAAUAAGCAAUAUUUAAGGAUAAAAACAGGGAUUUCUAUGAAAAUAAGCGAUAUUUUAGGUUAAAAACAGGGAUUUCUAUGAAAAUAAGCAAUAUUUAAGGAUAAAAACAGGGAUUUCUAUGAAAAUAAGCGAUAUUUUAGGGUUAAAAACAGGGAUUUCUAGGAAAAUAAGCGAUAUUUGAGGUUAAAAACAGGGAUAUCUAUGAAAAUAAGCGAUAUUUUAGGGUUAAAAACAGGGAUUUCUAUGAAAAUAAGCGAUAUUUGAGUUUAAAAACAGUGAUUUCUAUGAAAAUAAGCAAUAUUUGAGGUUAAAAACAGGGAUUUCUAGGAAAAUAAGUGAUAUUUUAGGGGAAAAACAGGGAUUUCUAUGAAAAUAAGCAAUAUUUCAGGGGAAAAACAGGGAUUUCCAUGAAAAUAAUUGGCAUUUUAGGGUUAAAAACAGGGAUUUCUAUGAAAAUAAGCGAUAUUUGAGGUUAAAAACAGGGAUUUCUAUGAAAAUAAGCGAUAUUUAAGGGGAAAAACAGGGAUUUCUAUGAAAAUAAGCGAUAUUUCAGGGUUAAAAACUGGGAUUUCUAUGAAAAUAAGCGAUAUUUAAGGGGAAAAACUGGGAUUUCUAUGAAAAUAAGCGAUAUUUAAGGGGAAAAACUGGGAUUUCUAGGAAAAUAAGCAAUAUUUUAGGGGAAAAACAGGGAUUUCUAUGAAAAUAAGCAAUAUUUCAGGGGAAAAACAGGGAUUUCCAUGAAAAUAAUUGGCAUUUUAGGGUUAAAAACAGGGAUUUCUAUGAAAAUAAGCGAUAUUUGAGGU